rnacentral:rRNA from 1 species
GUUGCGGUUAAAAGCUCGUAGUUGGAUUUCUGUCGAAGACGGUCGGUCCGCUCUAUGAGCGCGUAUCUGAUUCGGCUUUGGCAUCCUCGUGGGGGACGUAACUGUGCUUGAUUGCAUGGUGCGGAAUUCACGACUUUUACUUUGAGGAAAUUAGAGUGUUCACGGCAGGCAAGCGCCUUGAAUAUAUUAGCAUGGAAUAAUAAUAUAGGACUUUGGUUCUAUUUUGUUGGUUUCUAGGACUAAAGUAAUGAUUAAUAGGGAUAAUUGGGGGCAUUUGUAUUAACGCGUCAGAGGUGGAAUUCUUGGAUUGCGUUACGACAAACUACUGCGAAAGCAUUUGCCAAGGAUGUUUUCAUUGAUCAAGAACGAAAGUUAGGGGAUCGAAGACGAUCAGAUACCGUCGUAUUUUUAACCAUAAACUAUGCCGACUAGGGAUCUGGAGGCGUUAUUUUAUACGACCCUCCAGGCACCUUAUGAGAAAUCAAAGUCUAUGGGUUCCGGGGGGAGUAUGGUCGCAAGGCUGAAACUUAAAGGAAUUGACGGAAGGGCACCACCAGGAGUGGAGCCUGCGGCUUAAUUAGACUCAACACGGGAAAACUUACCAGGUCCAGACAUAGUUAGGAUUGACAGAUUGAGAGCUCUUUCUUGAUUCUAUGGGUGGUGGUGCAUGGCCGUUCUUAGUUGGUGGAGUGAUUGUCUGGUUAAUUCCGAUAACGAACGAGACCUUAUCCUGCUAAAUAGUGACUUGCAUCUUCGGAUAUAAGAACGCUUCUUAGAGGGACUUUGUGAAUUUAAGCGCAAGGAAGUUUGAGGCAAUAACAGGUCUGUGAUGCCCUUAGAUGUUCUGGGCUGCACGCGCGCUACACUGAUGCGUUCAACGAGCAUACAACCUUGCCCGGUAGGGUUGGGUAAUCUUUUGAAAACGCAUCGUGAUGGGGAUAGAUUAUUGUAAUUAUUAAUCUUC